AGUCGAACGAGAGAGAAGGAGCUUGCUUCUUCGAUCGAGUGGCGAACGGGUGAGUAACGCGUGAGGAACCUGCCUCAAAGAGGGGGACAACAGUUGGAAACGACUGCUAAUACCGCAUAAGCCCACGGGUCGGCAUCGACCAGAGGGAAAAGGAGCAAUCCGCUUUGAGAUGGCCUCGCGUCCGAUUAGCUAGUUGGUGAGGUAAUGGCCCACCAAGGCGACGAUCGGUAGCCGGACUGAGAGGUUGAACGGCCACAUUGGGACUGAGACACGGCCCAGACUCCUACGGGAGGCAGCAGUGGGGAAUAUUGCACAAUGGGGGAAACCCUGAUGCAGCGACGCCGCGUGGAGGAAGAAGGUCUUCGGAUUGUAAACUCCUGUUGUUGAGGAAGAUAAUGACGGUACUCAACAAGGAAGUGACGGCUAACUACGUGCCAGCAGCCGCGGUAAAACGUAGGUCACAAGCGUUGUCCGGAAUUACUGGGUGUAAAGGGAGCGCAGGCGGGAAGACAAGUUGGAAGUGAAAUCCAUGGGCUCAACCCAUGAACUGCUUUCAAAACUGUUUUUCUUGAGUAGUGCAGAGGUAGGCGGAAUUCCCGGUGUAGCGGUGGAAUGCGUAGAUAUCGGGAGGAACACCAGUGGCGAAGGCGGCCUACUGGGCACCAACUGACGCUGAGGCUCGAAAGUGUGGGUAGCAAACAGGAUUAGAUACCCUGGUAGUCCACACCGUAAACGAUGAUUACUAGGUGUUGGAGGAUUGACCCCUUCAGUGCCGCAGUUAACACAAUA
rnacentral:rRNA from 1 species